GCCUUCUUAGCUCAGCUGGCAGAGCGUAUCCCUCGUACCCAUUGUGUCAGGAUAAGGUCGUCGGUUCGAUUCCAGCAGAAGGCA